UGAAAUUAUAAUUUCAACACGCUUAACAGCCAGCCAUAAUUUGGCUACAACGUUACAGGAACAGGCAGGGGGAACGAGCUCUGUAGCCGGGUCAGAAGCGAGUGGCACACAUGAGGCACCUUUUCUGACCGCGUGUCAGCCGCAUGCCACUAAGCCCUGGUUAUAAAACCAGCAUAUGUGCGCUAGCAUUUGUAUUUGUGUGAGUACAAGCGACAGGAAACCCACUGCAUAACCCACAACUGUCAACAGACAACCCUCGGGGGCGGCCGAAAACGACGCAAAUUUGAUUUACUUCUUGUCGCCGUAAUGAUGCCCAAAUGUAUGCCUAGGACCUUAUUUUUGUGAAGUACCAAUCUGCCGAAAAUUAAUUUGUCAAUGUCUACUUAAAGUCAAAAUUGCCAAUUCGCUUGCUACGAGCGGCUAUAUGGGUUCUAGUA